rnacentral:rRNA from 1 species
UACGUAGGGGGCAAGCGUUGUCCGGAAUCAUUGGGCGUAAAGGGCGCGUAGGCGGCUAUAUAAGUCUGAUGUGAAAGUGCGGAGCUUAACUCCGUAAAGCAUUGGAAACUGUAUGGCUUGAGGACAGGAGAGGAAAGUGGAAUUCCACGUGUAGCGGUGAAAUGCGUAGAGAUGUGGAGGAACACCAGUGGCGAAGGCGACUUUCUGGACUGUAACUGACGCUGAGGCGCGAAAGCGUGGGGAGCGAACAGGAUUAGAUACCCUGGUAGUCCACGCCGUAAACGAUGAAUGCUAGGUGUAGAGGGUAUCGACCCCUUCUGUGCCGCAGUUAACACAAUAAGCAUUCCGCCUGGGGAGUACGGCCGCAAGGUUGAA